rnacentral:lncRNA from 1 species
AUUCUGUACAACCAUAACUUUGUGUCUUGUUUUUGUACCAAAGGUAUAGUUGAAGGUUAAAUUAAAUUUUGUAAAAAUAAGAACUACUUAUAUGUUAAGAUUAAACAAGUUUUUUUAUCUCAUUUUGCAAACUGCAAAUCUAAACAUGAUGACAAAUUCUUUGUAUUUUCUCACAAAUUUUGCCUGACUUUGUACGUGUAAUUUCGUAUGUAGAAAAUGAGGUAUUAAACCUGACUUGAAAGCUAGCUAAACUUCUCACUUGUAUGACAGUCGAAUAAAAUUGCAUUAUAUUGACAAUGAUGUGUGAAUAAAACAAACAGAUAUAAGAAGUAAAAAUGUCAGAAUAUGCAUACAACAUUGUGGAAUAAUCUUAAUCGCUAUAAACACAAAAAUUGUGUAACAAGGAAACACAAAAAGGCAUAUAGAAAAUUUAGAGCUUGAAAUAAUGUUAACAGGUACGAAUAAAAGGUGUUUGACGACAGUAGAGAAAGAAUGUAAUGUUAUAUAAUUAAAUUAUAAUAUUAUAACUGCUGGAGAUUUCUACAAACUGGACGUGACAAUAGAACUGAAUGUCAUAUGGCGCUCACAAACAUAAUUCAUGUAUUAAUUUGUAGAUAGUUGAAUUAAAAAUUGAUCCAAGAGGCGACGACAGAAGAAUACGAGCUACGCUUAAAAGGAAUGGAAAGAAAAAAGAAGAAAAUGGUCCAUUGUUUAGAAAAGAUAUUAAAGAUGUCGAAGAACUAAACAAACACUACAAAGAAAUUAUUAAACAG